rnacentral:misc_RNA from 1 species
GUUCCUUCCACACUUAGCAACUGGCUAGCUGGUAGAAUCUUCACAAGGUUAGCAAUAAGUUCAGGGGUCAAAGAGACGCCUGCUUGGGCUGGCGCUGCAGCAUUGCUUUGGUGUACAUAACUCGAGGGGUAUGCAGCAGAAUUACUUGGCUGCACAGUAUUUGUUGCAUAUGCAGCAGUUAGAGAACCGUAAUCUUUUGAAGGCAGCUUCAUAUCUUCUAGAGUAACCUGAUUAUAGUUCAUCUGCGGAACCCUUUCCACGGAAGGCAUUGCAUCAUAGGCAGCUUGAGAAGAUGGCAUCCGUGGUGCAUCGACAUACUGAGGUUGACUGGACUCUUGUGGCAAGGAUGUGCCACUAGGCAUAUGAUGUGCAAACUUUAGAACCACCCCAUACAGACGUUUUGGACCAACAACUUUCAGAACCUUCGUAAGAAAGUCAGAAGGUGGCACCAAGAACAAAGUGGUUCCAUUAGCAAAUUUUGCAACCCCGGCCCGAUCCUUUGAACCCAGGUAACCCAGGAACUCGGUGUAUGAAGCAAAGUCCUUUUCGCUAUUAGGCAAGAAGUACACAACGUUGAACCCAACAGCAUCUGCGUAGUGUUUGGUCAACAUGUCUAGUCCCGUUCUCGCGGAGCAAUUGACUACCUCAGGGAUCUCAAAUUCUAUACUUUCCCCAAUAGGAACACAGCGAGCAUGACACACAGGCGUUCCGCCCUUGGCAAUAGUGCCAUGCCAUAUAUAAUUAUGCCCAGGAAGGCGCUGUCCAGGAGAAAUUCUUGCAUCUAGAGGGCUAACACUGUUAUUUGCUUGACCGACUGUAACGGGACCAGAAGGAACAUUACUACCAAAUGGACCCAAUCCAUAUUGUUCAGCUCUGUCACUUGUUCUUUUAUGGGGAUAAGAAUUAUCAUAUGCCCCAUCAAUCCUUGAUCUCUUAGAUUCUCUUUGAAGUUGGCUAGAAUCAAAUACAUCCCGGCCAGGAAUGGCAGAUCUACUCGGUGCUUUCUGCACACCUGAAGGAGAAGAAAGCAUCCCUGGUGUUGGAGAUGCCGCCUUCCAGUUUGGGCCCCCCACAACAUUAUGAGGACUUGUAUCUCGCAAUUUACUGGCUACUGGCAAAUCAGUAUAUUCUGGGCCUGAAAUAGUAGGGUCAAAUCUGCCUUGCAUACCCAAAGGCCUAGCUGGGAUUUCAGGACCAUGAAUACCAAAAGGUGGCAAAUGUCCAGGUACAUUAGAGGCCAACAUAGGACGGUUAUGGCCAAACAUACCCAUCUGUGCUGGUUGGAAUGAAUUUUCAUUGGGAUAAGAGUCAGUUGUUGGGCCUAUAAUUGAAGGAUGAUACUCUCUGCCAGGUGCAGGACCACUGCUAUAAUAUUCAAUUGUGAUCCUCGGAUCAUUGAAAAGCUUGCCCUGCAAACCCUCUUUAGCACGCUGGGCUUCCUCCACACUUCUAAACUCAACCAAUGAGAAAUUUCUAUCAUAAAAUGUUCUUAUUCCAUUGAUCUCACCAAACAAAAUCAUAG